rnacentral:rRNA from 1 species
CGCGUGUACUGGUCCGGCCAGGCCUUUCCUUCUGGAGAGCCCCAUACCCUUCACUAGGCGUGCAGGGGAACCAGGACUUUUACUUUGAAAAAAUUAGAGUGUUCAAAGCAGGCCUUUGCUCGAAUACGUUAGCAUAGAAUAAUAGAAUAGGACGUGCAGUCCUAUUUUGUUAGUUUCUAGGACCGCCGUAAUGAUUAAUAGGGAUAGUUAGGGGCAUCAGUAUUCAAUUGUCAGAGGUGAAAUUCUUGGAUUUAUUAAAGACUAACUACUGCAAAAGCAUUUGCCAAGGAUGUUUUCAUUAAUCAGUGAACAAAAGUUAGGGGAUCAAAGACGAUCAGAUACCGUCGUAGUCUUAACCGUAAACUAUGCCAACUAGGGAUCGGGCGAUGUUUCUAUCUUGACUCGCUCGGCACCUUACAAGAAAUUAAAGUUUUUGGGUUCUAGGGGGAGUAUAGUCGCAAGGCUGAGACUUAAAGAAAUUAACAGAAGGGCACCACCAGGCGUGGAGCCUGCAGCUUAAUUUGACUCAACACGGGGAAACUCACCAGGUCCAGAUGAAAUAAGGAUUGACAGAUUGAGAGCUCUUUCUUAAUUUUUCAGGUAGUAGUGCAUAGCCGUUCUUAGUUAGUAGAGUAAUUUGUCUGCUUAAUUGCGAUAACGAACGAGACCUUAACCUGCUAAAUAGCCAGGCUAGCUUUAGCUAGUCGCCAGCUUCUUAGAGGGACUAUCAG